rnacentral:rRNA from 1 species
UACGAAGGGUGCAAGCGUUGCUCGGAAUUAUUGGGCGUAAAGGGUAGGUAGGUGGUGAUAUUUGUCUGGGGUGAAAUCCCUGAGCUUAACUCAGGACGUGCCUUGGAAACGGUAUCACUAGAGUACUGGAGAGGUUCGUAGAAUUCCUGGUGUAGCGGUGAAAUGCGUAGAGAUCAGGAGGAAUAUCAGAGGCGAAGGCGACGAACUGGACAGUGACUGACACUCAACUACGAAAGCGUGGGGAGCAAACAGG